UCGGAACGUGCCCAGUUGUGGGGGAUAACGUAGAGAAAUUUACGCUAAUACCGCAUGAGAUCUACGGAUGAAAGCGGGGGACUCUGCAAAGAGCCUCGCGCGACUGGAGCGGCUGAUAUCAGAUUAGGUUGUUGGUGGGGUAAAGGCCUGCCAAGCCGUCGAUCUGUAGCUGGUCUGAGAGGACGACCAGCCACACUGGGACUGAGACACGGCCCAG
rnacentral:rRNA from 1 species